AUUGAACGCUGGCGGCAUGCUUUACACAUGCAAGUCGAACGGUAACAGGGAGCUUGCUCCGCUGACGAGUGGCGAACGGGUGAGUAAUAUAUCGGAACGUACCCAAGAGUGGGGGAUAACGUAGCGAAAGUUACGCUAAUACCGCAUACGAUCUAUGGAUGAAAGCAGGGGACCUUCGGGCCUUGUGCUCCUGGAGCGGCCGAUAUCUGAUUAGCUAGUUGGUGAGGUAAAGGCUCACCAAGGCGACGAUCAGUAGCUGGUCUGAGAGGACGACCAGCCACAAGGGGAAUGAGACACAGCAGAAACUGCAACGGGAGGGAGCAGUAGGGAAUGUGCGGCAAUGGCCGAAAGUCUGAACGAGCAAGGACGCGUGAGUGAAGAAGGUGUUCGGAUAGUAAAACGCUGUUGGUAGAGAAGAAAGGUUGUGAGAGUGGAAAGAUCAUGAAGUGACGGUAAGUAACCAGAAAAGGACGGCUAACUACGUG
rnacentral:rRNA from 1 species